GUACACGCUGUGACUAGCAUAUCAAUAAGCGGAGGAAAAGAAACUAACAAGGAUUCCCCUAGUAACGGCGAGUGAAGCGGGAAGAGCUCAAAUUUGAAAUCUUAAAGGGUUUCCCUUUACGAAUCGUAGUUUAAAGAAGUGUUUUCUGUUGAGGUUUUGGUAAAAGUUCUUUGGAAUAGGACAUCAUAGAGGGUGAGAAUCCCGUAUUUGACCUUUACUUUCAACUUUGUGAUACACUUUCAAAGAGUCGGAUUGUUUGGGAAUGCAGUCCAAAAUGGGUGGUAAAUUUCAUCUAAAGCUAAAUAUUGGCGAGAGACCGAUAGCGAACAAGUACCGUGAGGGAAAGAUGAAAAGAACUUUGAAAAGAGAGUUAAACAGUACGUGAAAUUGUCAAAAGGGAAGCGUUUGACACCAGUGUUGUUUUUCUGAAAAUCAAUUAAAGAACUGUUUAUGCUAAGUUGUUUAGACUUUAUCAGCUAUCUGUUUAGUUUUGAUGCUUUUCUUUAAUGCACUUUUCAGUUAACAAGUCAACAUCAAUUUCUUUUGCUGUAAAAAAGCUUGAGGAAGGUGGCUUGAGAUUCGUCUUAAGUGUUUAUAGCCUCUUGCCUAUGCAGUCGGAGAGAUUGAGGUCUGCAGCGUAGAUCCUUCGGGGCUAAAUGCAUUUGUGCUAAGUUAUAGCAUUUUAUAGACAACUUGUUGACUAUGAUUUGUCUUGUAGCUUACUCGCUUAUGUUAUUUUACCUACGCUUAGGAUGUUGAAGUCAUCGUAUCGCG
rnacentral:rRNA from 1 species